rnacentral:tRNA from 5 species
ACGCUGCUGCAUGACGCGGUCGCAGCGCUCCAACUGCUGAUUGGGCAGAAGAAACAUGGAGAGUUCAACUCCUUUGCUGUGUC